rnacentral:rRNA from 1 species
AUUGAACGCUGGCGGCAGGCCUAACACAUGCAAGUCGAGCGGAUGAAGGGAGCUUGCUCCUGUAUUCAGCUGCGGACGGGCGAGUAAUUCCUAGGAAUAUGCCUUGCAUUUAGGGAUAACGUCCGGAAACGGACGCUAAUAUCACAUACGUCCUUAUGUUGAACGUGGUGGUUCUUCGGACCUCACGCUUUCAGAUGAGCCUAGGCUGCAUUAGCUAGCUGGUAUGGUAAGGGCCUACCAAGGCGACGAUCCGUAACUGGUCUGAGAGGAUGAUCUGUCACACUGGAACUGAGACACGGUCCAGACUCCUACGGGAGGCAGCAGUGGGGAAUCUUGCACAAUGGGCGAAAGCCUGAUCCAGCCACGCCGCGUGUGUGAAGAAGGUCUUCGGAUCGUAAAGCACUUUAAGUAGGGAAGAACAGAAGUGAGUUAAUCCCUGGCUGUCUUGACGGUACCAAAAGAGAAAGCACCGGCUAACUUCGUG